rnacentral:rRNA from 1 species
GACAGAGGGGGCAAGCGUUGCUCGGAAUCACUGGGCGUAAAGGGCGCGUAGGCGGGCUGGCAAGUCGGUCGUGAAAUCCUUCGGCUCAACCGAAGAACGUCGGCCGAUACUGCCGUUCUUGAGGGAUGCAGAGGAGAUUGGAAUUCCCGGUGUAGCGGUGAAAUGUGUAGAGAUCGGGAGGAACACCGGUGGCGAAGGCGGGUCUCUGGGCAACAACUGACGCUGAGGAGCGAAAGCGUGGGGAGCGAACAGG